rnacentral:rRNA from 1 species
UACGGGGGGAGCAAGCGUUGUUCGGAUUUACUGGGCGUAAAGGGCGGGUAGGCGGCCACUGCAAGUCGGUUGUGAAAUCUCCGGGCUUAACUCGGAACGGUCAAUCGAUACUGCAGGGCUAGAGUGCGGAAGGGGCAACUGGAAUUCUCGGUGUAGCGGUGAAAUGCGUAGAUAUCGAGAGGAACACCUGCGGCGAAGGAGGGUUGCUGGGCCGACACUGACGCUGAACUGCGAAAGCUAGGGGAGCGAACGGG